AUUGAACGCUGGCGGCAGGCUUAACACAUGCAAGUCGAGCGAGCGGCGGACGGGUGAGUAAUGUCUGGGAAACUGCCUGAUGGAGGGGGAUAACUACUGGAAACGGUAGCUAAUACCGCAUACCAUCAGAUGUGCCCAGAUGGGAUUAGCUAGUAGGUGGGGUAACGGCUCACCUAGGCGACGAUCCCUAGCUGGUCUGAGAGGAUGACCAGCCACACUGGAACUGAGACACGGUCCAGACUCCUACGGGAGGCAGCAGUGGGGAAUAUUGGACAAUGGGCGAAAGUCUGACCGAGCCAUGCCGCGUGAGUGAAGAAGGUCUUCGGGUUGUAAAGCACUUUCAGUGGGGAGGCGUUACUCGCAGAAGAAGCAACGGCUAACUCCGUGCCAGCAGCCGCGGUAAUUC
rnacentral:rRNA from 1 species